UCAGUACAGGCCUUUAUACGGUGAAACCGCGAAUGGCUCAUUAAAUCAGCUAUGGUUUAUUGGAUCAUACCCGUUAAAUGGAUAACUGUAAUAACUCUAGAGCUAAUACAUGCCUCGAAGCCCUGACUCAGUUUCGGCUGGGAAUGGGUGCACUUAUUAGAUCAGAAGCCAACCGGUCGGGUUAACGCCCGGCUGAAGCACUUCUGGUGACUCUGGAUAAUUGUUACAGAUCGCAGUCGGCCUUGGAGUCGGCGACGGGUCCUUCAAAUGUCUGCCCUAUCAACUUUCGAUGGUAGGUGACCUGCCUACCAUGGUGAUAACGGGUAACGGGGAAUCAGGGUUCGACUUCGGAGAGGGAGCCUGAGAAACGGCUACCACUUCCAAGGGAGGCAGCAGGCGCGCAAAUUACCCACUCCCAGCACGGGGAGGUGGU
rnacentral:rRNA from 1 species